UCUAUCAUAGGUGUUUCUUUGGUUUUGCCCCAAUAAGCACAGAAUGUUCUCUUGCAUGUAGUCAGAUGUUCCAGUAGGCAGCAACUGCAGCUAUUGAGUUUGCUGCUGUUGCACGUGAUGUUAGAACCCGUGCAGAACCACUAAGAAUAUUCUUUAACAUAUUUGGCAGUUCAUCAUUUCUCUCCCUAGAGUUCAAACCAACUGCAGCUUUAUUGCCACUGACAGGCCACAGAUUAAAGCACAGAUCAUCUGACUUUGUUCAGGUGAUGUUGCAAGUCAAACUCAAGGCUGAGAGCUGAAUACAAGUUGCCUGGUUUCCAGCCCUCCUUAUUCACUCUAUUUUUCCAGUACCUGCUAAUUCAGAUUACCAUGAAUUGACCUGGAUGAAUUUUAAUGACUUUUUUUUUUUUUAACUUAGGGUGCCCAAUGUAUUUUGCAUGGUUAAUAAAAUAUCUAAUGAUGGGAGGGAAUUUAAUACAUGUAAUCUUAGUACCCUUGUUCCUUAUGGUAUAUACUAAGAAGCACUUUUCUCCACUGAAGUGAGAGCCACAGCUGACAAAGAAUAAUGAAAACAUGCCAGAGGUUGGUUAUACCAUAAUAGUAAAUAAUGCACAUCCUCUUCAUUUUUAUUUAACUGAGAAAACAUAUUUUAUUCAUUAAGUUUGGAGUUGUGCCUGUCCACCUUCCACAUCUGAGCAGCAUUCUGGGGGAAAGACACAAAGGAAUCAUAGCAGUAUUCAGAAGACUUGCAUUUUUGUUAAGCCCAAAACCAAAAAGGCCAUAUUGUUGUAUGUGCCUGGCUUUGUUACAGAAGGUAGACUGCCUUUGUUCUUGUGCAAACUUGCUUAAAAUAGAGCCAGUGUUAUGAAAUCCUGGUACUGCAUAAAAUGCAUAAAACCAGAAAAAAGUUCACUAUCAUUUGCAUAAUAAGUAAUUAAAAGGAAAUGCUAGGAUAAAAUUUGCAUAAAAAUUAGGGUAUCUGACUCACAGUAAUGUCUUAAAAGGCCAGAUUUGAGAGUACUGUAUUGAGUUCCAGCUCAUUCCAUCAACCACUUUACUAUUCUCAGUAAUUUUUCAAGUUACAUUUCUGGAGUAGGAUGAGUUUUCCGAUUACAAUUUCACAAAACAAUGAAACAUGCUAGUCCAUAAACUGCCACUUUUGCCUGGAUUAGAAACAAAUUUAUAAAAUCUGCAGGUUUAUCCCACUCAGACCCUCUGCUAAACAGAUCCCUUCCAACUAUUUCCUAAUGGACUGGCCUCUGUGAAGGGCUUUUUUCUGACAUUUUCCAUCACUCAGAAACAAACACAUUUAGGUAAGGUAUAUAAAAAAAGCUUUCUUCCCCAGAUGGUCUUUGUUUUUUAAGACUGCCCCUACCCAUUACAAAAUCGCAAUUCUACUUGAUAAAAAUCCUCACUAUUGAUGCUGUAAUGCCAAGAUACAAAUCUACAGCAAUCCCCAAAGCAAAGGACAGAUUACACAUUUUUAGGUGAGGUCACAACAAGUUCUUCUCGGCUUUGCGCUGGCUGCGUCUCUGGGGGAGUGCUCCUGAUGUCAAGUUACUGCAAAACGCAGGACCUCGGCUUCACGGGUCUUCAUUUUUGCCUUCCUCUUGCCCCCUCUGAAAGCCACCUUGUAUGUGAAGUAUCCUUUAUAUAUUUUUAUGUAAAGGUAUAUAUUACGCCUUUAGGACGCUCACCGUAAGAUGCUAUUUAACCCUUUCUUCUGGGCUAAACCUGUAGGCUCUCCUGCCACCUCCACCACACGCACACCUCCGGCUCCCAUGAGCGGGGGGAUCCAAGGUCUCGACGCCCCAACACCCACCGGCACUACAGCCGCCUGCCUCAGAAUUAGAUCAUCUUACGCUGAUUAAGAGAGUUCAAGACCGGCACCGCUUGACAGCCAGGUCUGCACAAACAAGCCGAGGGCAUUUUUAAUAACCCGUCGGCUGCCGGGACCCGGGCGGGGGCUGGGGCACAGCCGAAAGCACCCCGGGGAGUCGCUCCCGGCGCUGACGAGGGGCUCGGAGGAGGAGAUCGGGCUUCGGCCCCACAGAGGAUCUCUCGCGUGCCGUGAAUGCCAGGAGCGAGUUUUCUUCUGCUCUUUCAACCUCUCCCUCAACCAAGAACUUGAAGAGUCAGGAUAUCUCAGUGUUAUAUCCUCCUGCAAAAUGAUGCUGCUGGCAAGGAUCCCUAGAUGAAAAAGACCCUUUUUGUGGAUGAAAGAGCAGCUCAAAUUCUGCAGUCAAGCUUGUGCUUCUGCUGAAGUCACAGUAAGUGACAGCUGCAGUGAUGAAUUUCUGUAUGAAGAUUGUAUGAACAUCGCCCCAUUCCUCGAAGAACUGGCUAACACUGCCAUGCAUUUCACACAGCCUUCUUUCAGAUAUCAGGUCCUUUUGGUCAUUAGUGGCUUGGACUGACACUGAAAUGUUAAGUAGUCCUCAAGAUUACAAAUCCAUCAUCAGCUGUAUCUGAGCAGCUAUGUCACUGCUUCCCAGUUCAAUUACUAUGUGCAAAAAGGUGUCCUGACCUUUAGCUUUUUAGUAACAUCACUUUGCUUGUAGGAAGGGUUCAAGGACCAAAAAUCUGUCAGGUGUGAAAGGAGAUUGAUUCAGGGACCUCCUGAGGAAGCUCAGUCCACAUAAAUCCUUUAGACCUGAUGGGUUGCACCCAAGGGUGUUGUCAUUCUGAAGCUGCUUACUAUCAUCACUGAAAGGUCAUGGAGACUGGGGACAUCUUCUGUGCCUGCAGAAAAGCAGAUGAUGCACCCAGCUUCAGAAAAAGGGCAUGCAGGACAAUCUAGAGAAAUACUGAACAAUCAUGGAACAAGCCAUCUUGGCAGAAUUUCCAGGCACAUGAAGGAGAAUGGGGUGACUUGUAACAGCCAGCAUGAAUUUACAAAGGUAAAUCACACCAGACCAACUUAAUUGUCUCUUGUGAUGAGGUGACUUCAUCUGUCAAAGAGGGGAAAGCAGACAAUGUUGUCUAC